rnacentral:rRNA from 1 species
AUGCGUAGGGGUUCUGAGAGGAGGGUCCCCCACAUUGGAACUGAGACACGGUCCAAACUCCUACGGGAGGCAGCAGUGAGGAAUAUUGGUCAAUGGCCGGAAGGCUGAACCAGCCAAGUCGCGUGAGGGAAUAAGGCCCUACGGGUCGUAAACCUCUUUUGCCAGGGAGCAAUGCCGUCCACGUGUGGACGGAAGGAGAGUACCUGGAGAAAAAGCAUCGGCUAACUCCGUGCCAGCAGCCGCGGUAAUACGGAGGAUGCGAGCGUUAUCCGGAUUUAUUGGGUUUAAAGGGUGCGUAGGCGGCCUGCCAAGUCAGCGGUAAAAUUGCGGGGCUCAACCCCGUACAGCCGUUGAAACUGCCGGGCUCGAGUGGGCGAGAAGUAUGCGGAAUGCGUGGUGUAGCGGUGAAAUGCAUAGAUAUCACGCAGAACCCCGAUUGCGAAGGCAGCAUACCGGCGCCCGACUGACGCUGAGGCACGAAAGUGCGGGGAUCAAACAGGAUUAGAUACCCUGGUAGUCCGCACAGUAAACGAUGAAUGCUAGCUGUCCGGGGGGAUUGACCCCUGG